UACGUAGGGGGCAAGCGUUGUCCGGAUUUAUUGGGCGUAAAGAGCGUGUAGGCGGCCAUGUAGGUCCGUUGUGAAAACUCGAGGCUCAACCUCGAGACGCCGAUGGAAACCAUGUGGCUAGAGUCCGGAAGAGGAGAGUGGAAUUCCUGGUGUAGCGGUGAAAUGCGCAGAUAUCAGGAAGAACACCCGUGGCUAAGGCGGCUCUCUAGUACGGUACUGACGCUGAGACGCGAGAGCGUGGGGAGCGAACAGG
rnacentral:rRNA from 1 species